rnacentral:piRNA from 1 species
UUCACAUUAUGUGAAUACUGGACGCUG